AUUGAACGCUGGCGGCAGGCCUAACACAUGCAAGUCGAGCGGAUGAAGGGAGCUUGCUCCUGGAUUCAGCGGCGGACGGGUGAGUAAUGCCUAGGAAUCUGCCUGGUCUUGGGGGAUAACGUCCGGAAACGGGCGCUAAUCCCGCAUACGUCCUGAGGGAGAAAGUGGGGGAUCUUCGGACCUCACGCUAUCAGCUGAGCCUAGGUCGGAUUAGCUAGUUGGUGGGGUAAAGGCCUACCAAGGCGACGAUCCGUAACUGGUCUGAGAGGAUGAUCAGUCACACUGGAACUGAGACACGGUCCAGACUCCUACGGGAGGCAGCAGUGGGGAAUAUUGGACAAUGGGCGAAAGCCUGAUCCAGCCAUGCCGCGUGUGUGAAGAAGGUCUUCGGAUUGUAAAGCACUUUAAGUUGGGAGGAAGGGCAGUAAGUUAAUACCUUGCUGUUUUGACGGUACCAACAGAAUAAGCACCGGCUAACUUCGUG
rnacentral:rRNA from 1 species